rnacentral:rRNA from 1 species
NNNAAGGUCUAACCUGCCCAAUGAGGAUUUAAAUGGCCGCAGUAUUUUGACUGUGCAAAGGUAGCAUAAUUAUUAGUUUUUUAAUUGAAAGCUUGUAUGAAGGGUUGGACGAGAUGAAAUCUGUCUUUAUUUAAAUUAAAAUAUAAUUUAACUUUUAAGUAAAAAGGCUUAAAUGUUUAUAAAAGACGAGAAGACCCUAUAGAUCUUUAUUUAAUUAAAAUUUUAAUAAUUUAGGAUUAUUUUAAUUUAAAGUUUUAAUUAAAUUUUAUUGGGGUAAUAUAAAGAUUAAAUAAAUUCUUUUUAUUUAUAACAUUGAUUUAUGAAUAUAUGAUCCAUUAAUAUUGAUUAUAAGAUUAAGUUACCUUAGGGAUAACAGCGUAAUUUUUUUGGAGAGCUCAUAUCGAUAAAAAAGUUUGCGACCUCGAUGUUGGAUUAAAAAUUAGCUUGGGUGCAGAAGCUCAAGAUUUUGGUCUGUUCGACCAUUAAAUUUUUACAUGAUCUGAGUUCAGACCGGCGUGAGCCAGGUCGGUUUCUAUCUUUAUUAAGAUAAAAUGUUUUAGUACGAAAGGACCAAAUAUUUAAUAUAAUUAUAUUUAUUUUUUGAAGAAUAUU